rnacentral:misc_RNA from 1 species
UAUUGUGGUAACAUUAUUUAUGAAAUGUCUAACUGACAUUUGCUGUCAUCAGGCAGCUGAUCGAAAUUUUCAGCACUUUUAUGUAAUUUCUCGGGCGUAACAUCUCUUUUGAGAUGCUUCGGACAGUUGCGAUAGGUUCAGGCCUGGUGGCGUUAGUGCCAGUAGUGCGGGCUGCUAAGCCGGUAGAUCCAGAUCCAUCGAAGCCUCCACCGCUCAUGAAGGCCUGCGACCUGCCCAUAUAUGACAGCCCACAUGCGGACUAUGGAGAGUACAAAGAAUCAAUGGAGACCAAGCAACAGAUCAGCUACAUUCGCAACGUAAUCCUGGAACCGGUGAGAGUGGUACGUCAGUCUGUGCAGAAUGUCUGGGAGCAGACCGAGUCUAUCCAGCAGACGGUCAGGGACAACUAUAAUGAGCUCCAGGAUAGGACUGACUGGAUUGUGAAAUAUCUGCGAGAGGAAGAAAAUAAGGAUAUCCGGUAUGGCGCAGUCGCAAUGGGUGGCCUUACAGGUUUCAUAUUUGGUCUCAGAGGCGGUAUCAUCAGGCGGCUGUUCUACGCAGGCGUGGGCACGACAAUCAUGGGCGCUGUCUGCUUCCCCGAGGAGACCAAGGAACUGGCCAAGGAGAACGGAGUGUUGGCCAAGCAGUACGCCAACAUCGCGUAUAACUUCCUCUAUGGAGUAAAGCCGGGCGAUCCGCAACUUGAGCUGAAAUUCCCUGAGCUCUCUGUACCUAAGAACUUCUCAGAGUUUGUCGACCUUUCGGUGUCGGUAGCGUCAUCUGUGAAGCAGAUGGUCAUGCCUCCGCCUGGCAAGGAGGCGCAGGAGUCUACAGAAAAGAAAGAUUAGAUUUUGCACAUAAGAAAGACAUGGAGCCAUUAACUAACCCAACAAGCAAGGAAGAUGAUGAAAUAGAUAAUUUAGUACCUAAUCCAUGGACUUGGAGUUAAAGAAAUUAUGUAUUUGUUAGUCAUUUUUUAUUUAUUUAAUGAAUUCAGUGUAAAUGUAUAGCGGUUAUUAAAUAAAACUGUAUAUUUUUUCUA